GAUAAGGUGUACCAAAAACGGCGGCGCUACGCGCCGCCGUUUUUGAGAUAUUUGCGAAAAACCGCAAGGGGGGUGUUCAAACACCCCCCCAGCAGGGCGCGGGUUAAGGGCUGCAGUAGGUAGGCAUGCCAUUUUCUAGGAUGCAAUUUUAGGGUAUAGCCCAUGAUUGGGUGACUCUCACUCUGCAUUGAGGUACGAGUUAACUGUGUAACGUUUUUUAUGGUAGUGUCGUUUGUAAAUAGUUUUUUUUUUUUUGCCAGGUUGGGGUGCCUUUCUUGUCGUUGGUCAAUAGAGCAUUGCCUAGGCAUGCAUAAACGACAAUCAUCAUAGUAAUAUUGGUAUGCAAUAUGCAUAUCCUGCCGAUAUGUCAUCACACGCAUUGUCAGAUAAAUGGCCCCGGUAUAUAUAGCCCCUUUUGACACGAGAUUUCGGCUAAAAAUGGUUAUGUGACGCAAUCUGUUUUUUUCUUUCUUCUUACAUGGCUUGGUGUUUGGCAUCCGACUCUGAACGGCGACGGAUCGGCACACUCGGCGGGGCCGGCCCGCUUUGCCAGAGUCUUCUCUGGCCGCUGAAGGAUUCCUUCACAGCUCCUGUGUCAGCUGAGGGAGUUCCGACCCCUCCCAGCUCAUCUUGCUCCAGUGGUGCUGCCUAGCAGGUCUUACGGGACAUCGUCAGGCAUAGGCCAGGGUGGCCGGGGUUUUGAAAGGUUUAAGGGAUCGUGGCGUUUCUGGUAAGCUUCGGGCCAGGUUGAGGAAAUAAUUACCUACCUUCAACCAAGCACGUAUUUGGGUGGGUUCCGUCACUGGUCUCGACCCUGGCGGCGACUGUAGGUCUUUUGUGUUAAUUUGUAUCCCCCACUCGGUCUGCUGGUCUCGGGAAGGGGGUGUUUUAUUAUGGCGCAUUGGUGUCUGGGUGGAUGUAUUGAAUGGGUGGGGACACCAUUGCGCCGCGCGGGGGGAGGGGUGGCGGCCCGUUGGCAGGGCAGUCUCGGUUGAGACUUGUAUACUUGCUAGUGUGUUUGUGUCGUGUUCAUUUGGGCUGAAUAUACCAAUAGCCCCUUUUUGUACA